AAACCUGGAAAGAUACUCCACUAGCUGAGAAGUGGAAAGAACCUUAUCAGGUACUGCUAACCACACAAAGAGCCAUGCAAUUGAAAUGACUGGAGUCAUGAAUUCAUUACACAGACCAAAGGUAUUCCUCCAACUUUGUGGUGGUCUUAACAGAAAGACCCCCAAAGCUGAAACUGACUUGGGACUCAUGAACUGCACAUGGACAAAAAGAAUCUGUACUGCAAUUUUACUGUAUUCGGGGAGAAAUUUUACUAUAUUUUUGCGUUUUACUAAGUGUAAAAAGUUUUUACAGGCAAUGUGCUUGAUUUUUGGAACAUCACUGAGCACCCUGGCCUGGGUGCACAACUCUGAAAUAACAAUCAAUCUCUUUUGAGUGUGUAAUUAUUGUCUUUAGCACACUGGAUAAUAAAUCCAAUUUUUCUGAACACCAAUAUGUCCUAUUUUAAACAAAUAGUUUAUAUCAUCUUGGAAUUUUACAUGGUACUCACAAAGUGAGGCAGGUAAUUGCUCAGAGGAAUUGAAUGUAAAUAUUAUCAUUUGUGAUAAAAAAUGAAGUUAUGAAUACUAGUGCAUGAAUCAAAGCCUGCCUAGCUGACAGCUUACAAGAUACAUCUGGCCUCCAGGACAAUAUUCCACUAUUCUAUAAAAUUUUACAUCUCAUCUGACAACUGGCUUUAGUGUAAAUAGGACUGAUGUCAUCCCCUCACAAUUGCCAAGAACUUGUAAAGUCUUGCAUUAGAUUUACAAUUUGUUUAUUCUUACCAAUUACAGAGUCCAAGGCAUACUUCUGGCCCUAUAAAUGCCUGUAUAAUACUCAAGCAGAGGACAUGAAAGUAAGCAAAGUAAAGUGCUGGAUAUAAAACUCCAUGACUUGGAGAAAUAAAAAAAAUAUGCAUGCACAGCACUUUGAGGAAGCAAGUGUAGUAUAGCCAGGACGCCCCAUGCUAACUUUAAUUGUACUACAGCAAAUUAAUAUCAGUACAGGGACACACCACAAAAUACCAAGCACAGCCAAAUGCAGGAUUCUUGGGGGGUUUAUAGUCUCAUUUUUAGCUCUAGCUCAGCUGAAGCUGUGUCCCAUGUUUACUUGUGCUGUUUUGUGUUAUUUUCCAGCUUAACAUCACUGUGUAGGCAUACCUGAAGUCACACAACCAUGUGCAGUGAACAUAACUGAACGUGCUUCAAUGUGCUUGUGUGUUUUAUCCUAAAAGGCUGAUUGACACAAGUGAAGUGUCAGUAAAGUCAGUAAUGACAACAGGAACAACUGACUAAGAACAUAAGUAAAUCUUGCAGGAUAAAAAUAUUAAAUUAGA